GUAAGCCGCUUUGGAUAAAAGCGUCAGCUAAAUGCAAUUUAAUGUAAUGUAUUCAAAUGUCAUUGGAAUGUCAUUUGAAAAGCUGACAGAUGAAGGUGUUGGGACACAAUGGCUCUUUGUCUCCUCAUCUUUGCCCUUCUUCCAUUCUGUCUCCACUUUGGGCUGAUGGGAGUUUCUGAGUCUGCCUUUCUUUCUUUCCUGUCUUUCUCUCUAUGAAUCCCCCCCCACCCCAACCCUAACCCUGGUAGGUCUAUAUUCAAGCCUUUUGUCUUCUCGGACUGUUCCACCUCAGUGCUGGGGGUGGUCUCCCCGCAGUUUGGCCCAGACGAUCCUGUCAGGAAGCAGCCCCGCUUUCAGAGCCAGGUGGACCGCAGACACGAGCUGUACAAGGCCCACCAGGUGGCGCUCAGCACCAUGGAGACCAACCCGGAUGAGGGUUUAGCUGUCUAUGAGAUUCUGAGGGACCUGGAGUCGCAGUGUCUGACCGAUAUCUCCGCCAUGCUGAACGGAGAGAUCCCAGGAGAAGAACUGGGGGACUUGUUUUUCGACUCUGUGGACACAGAGAUCAAGUUCUACCAGUGAGGAGCGCCCUCAGGUGGACGUCUCUAACACAGAGUUGUGGGAAAAGGCCUGGGACUGAUAACAACUCUGUGUUCCUCGACUGAUCGGCUUCUGCCUCACUCACACAGCACAUGUCCCUGACACCAUUCCAUCAUUAACAUGGUUUGAAUGUCUACACUGCACUGAUGAAGUGAAUGUAUCAUCUGUAUCACCCAGGGAGCAGUGAGUUCACCCCAUUAGUGAGUUAAAUGAUGUAGACUGCACAAGCGCCUAUGUAGAGCUGUGUGAAGGAAUGUGGCAUUUGUUUAACAUUUUGUUUUGGUUGCAAAUGAAUGGAUUGUCAUGUGAUGGCUUCCUGAAUAGAAAUAUGAAAUAAAGAAUGUGUCUGUCCUGUGUGUGGUGAGCUAUACUGUGUUUCAGCCUUCAACCUAGGGCUGGCUGUUAUGACAAAAAAUUCAUAUCACGGUAUUUUUCAUAACGGUAUCACGGUAUUUAUUUAUUGUAUGUAUUUACAUUGAUAUUUUUUUCCUAUCAUCGGCAGUCCCUGGAACAAAUGCGUUUUCAAGUGACGCUUGACUUGUCUUUACUUUAGACAUUUCACCAGCGUUGCUUGUUGAAGCAGAUCGUAUUUUCUUUCAUUCUUGGUACUCCAAUAAGUGCUUUCUGUUGAGGUGGUGGAAUAAAUUACUUGUGUUUACUC